ACGAUUUGGGGGCGAUAAGACCUGGGGAGCUCCCGGAGAGAGAUGGAGAUACCCAAAACCACAGGGAGGGAGUAAAGAUGGCGAAUCCCCGCUGGCAGUGGGCAGGAGUCGGGGCAAAUGGCACCGGCCAGCGCCGCAUCACCGGGGAGGGGGAAAACGGUGGGCUUGGGGUGAGAAUCGCUGCUGCAGCUGCUCUGAUUCCCCAUUUGAACAACGUGGCAAGCGGGCAACAGCCACACCACCGCUCCCUCCAUGCACGGGAUGGAGUUUGGGAUGCAGGAGCCUCCAGCCGCUGCCCUGUCCCGCAGGCACCGUGGCAGCCCACGACAUCUCCUGCUGGAAGAAAUGCACCAGCAAGCUUUUCCACUGCUCCUGGCCUCCCCUCGGCCCCGCCGGCAACACCUCCUACAUCCUGAACUUCUGCUUUGAGAAGAACCGCAAGUGCCGCCGGUAUGGGGUGGGCACGGCCACCAACUACAGCCCCCCGCAUCGCCAGUUGUACAUGCUGGAUAACACCACGGCCUGGGUGGAGGCACGCUGGGGGGAGCAGAUCCACAAGACCCCCAACCACACCCUUCACCUCAACAAGGCUGUCAAACUGGAUCCACCUCCGGACGAGAUGCUCUUCUCCAAGACUGGUGGCAAGCUGAGGGUGCAGGUGCCACGGCCACAGUGCCAAGGCCUGGAGCAGCCGGCACAGCAUGAGGCUCGCUUCUGGAGGGUGGGAGACAGCAGCUGGACACAGGUAAAAAUGCUCUUUGCUGAAGCUGGCAGUGACUGACAGGGGUCACCGUGGCAGCCCAGGGAGUGUGGGGGCUCAGUGAUGUCAGUGUCCCCCCCAAACCCAGCUGUGUCCCAUCUGUUUCACUGCUUUACGAGCUCUGCCUCAUCCUCUGGCUGUGGGAUCCUGCUGCUGCCCCUAACAGGAUUCUCUGGGAUUACACAGACAAAACCCCAGAUUAUACUAAUGACGACAACAGAUCAAAUCUGGAUGCUUGUCCCCAGCGCAGCUCUCACAGCUGGGGACCCCCCAUCCCUCUC
rnacentral:lncRNA from 1 species